rnacentral:rRNA from 1 species
CCUACGGGUGACUGCAGUGGGGAAUAUUGCACAAUGGGGGGAAGCCUGAUGCAGCAAUGCCGCGUGGGUGAAGAAGGACUCCGGUGCGUAAAGCCCUGUCAGCAGGGAAGAAAAUGACAGUACCUGGACAAGACGCCCCGGCUAACUACGUGCCAGCAGCCGCGGGUACACGGAGGGGGCAAGCGUUAUCCGGAUUUACUGGGUGUAAAGGGAGCGCAGGCGGCGUGGCAAGUCCGGUGUGAAAACCCAGGGCCAAACCCCGGGAGUGCAUUUGAAACUGCCAUGCUGGAGUGCCGGAGAGGUAAGCGGAAUGCCUGGUGUAGCGGUGAAAUGCGUAGAUAUUAGGAAGAACACCAGUUGCGGAGGCGGCUUACUGGACGGUAACUGACGCUGAUGCUCGAAAGCGUGGGUAGCAAACAGGAUUAGAUACCCCUGUAGUC